GGUAUAAUAUCACCUUCCCAAGGUGAGGAUGUGGGUUCAAUUCCCGCUAGCCGCUCCA
rnacentral:tRNA from 1 species